rnacentral:lncRNA from 1 species
CACCUUGGCAACAGCAGGUCCAUUCUCUGUGUCCAUCAGUUUGCUUCUGUUAUGUGGGUAGCUUCCCUUGUGCUAUAUUUUAGAUUCCACAUAUAAGUGAUAUCAUAUGGUAUUUGUCUUUCUCUUUCUGACUUACUUCACUUAGUAUGAGAAUCUCUAGUUUCAUCCAUUUUGCUGCACAUGCCAUUAUUUUGUUCUUUUUAUCGCUGAGUAUAUUCCGUUGUGUACAUAAACUGUGUCUUCUUAAUCCAUUCAUCUGUUGAUGGACAUUGAGGUUAUUUCCAUGUCUUGGCUAUUGUGAAUAGUGCUGCAAUGAACAUGGGGGUGCAUGUAUCUNUUUUUUUUUUUCUGCUUUUUAGGGACACACCCGUGGCAUGUGGAAGUUCUCAGGCCAGGGGUCAAAUCAGAGCUACAGCGGCUGGCCUACGCCAUAGCCACAACAACGUGGGUUCUGAGCCUCGUCUGUGACGUGCACCACAGCUCAUGGCAAUGCCGGAUCCCUAACCAGUUGAGACGAGGGAUUGAACCCGAAUCCUCAUGGAUCCUAGUCAGGAUUGUUAACUGCUGAGCCACGAAGGGAACUUCCUGCAUGCAUCUUUUUGAAUGAAAAUUUUAUCUGGAUAUAUGUCCAGGAAUAGGAUUGCUGGGGCGUAUGGUAGUUCUAUGUUUAUUUAUUUUCUGUGUUACAAUUGCUUUAUUUUUUUCUUCCAAGUGUAUUGAGAUGUAAUUGACACAUAGCACUCUAUAAGUUUAUGGUGUUCAGCAUCGUGAUUUGACUUACAUACAUCAUGAAAUUAUGACCACAAUAACUUAAGUGAACAUCCAUCAUCGCAUAUGGACAAAAUUAAAGAAAUAAAAAAAAAAUUUUUCCUUGUGACGGGAACUCUUAGGAUUUAUUCUUAUAAGAACUUUAAUGUAUAACAUAUAUAUAUAUGGACACUAUAUAUGAGAGUGGUAAUUAGGAGUUCCUGCUGUGACUCAGUGAGUUAAGAACCUGACUAGUAUCCGUGAGGAUGUGGGUUCGAUCCCUGGCCUUGCUCAAUGGGUUAAGGGUCUGGAGUUACCCCAAGCUAUGGCAUAGGUUGCAGAUGCAGCUUGGAUCUGGUAUGGCUGUGGCUGUGGCAUAGACCUCAGCUGCGGCUCCAAUUUGACCCCUAUCCUGGAGACUUCCAUAUGCCACAGAUGCUACCCAAAAAGACAAAAAAAAAAAGAGUGGUAAUUAUGUUUAUCAUGCUGUACAUUAUAUCCCAGCUACUUAUUUAUCUUAUAACAGGAGGUCUGUACUUUUGACACCUUUCUUCCAAUUCCCCCUUCCCUUAGCUCCUGCCUCUACUAACCUUAAAUCUGAUCUCUCUGAGUUUUUUGUUUGGACGUGGUUCCUUUGAAAAUCUUCCAUUUUAGUAAGUGAUCAACCUGUUUUGGUUUGUAACAUAUUCUGGCUUACUGUUUUUUUUUUUUUUUUCCUCCCUGCCAGUGGCAUAUGGAGUUCCUGGGUCAAACACAGCCAAACAAAACAAAACUAUAGAAUUAAAGAAAAUACAAUUACAUGACACAUAAAAUAGAUAACAUGCAUAAAUACACUGAAAUCAUACAUAUAACCUAGUAGGAAUAUCAGGAGUUAAGUAAGUCCAAUAACUGGUAUGGGUAACUUACUAGAGAGGUUCAACUGUGGAUAUGAGCUAGCGGAAGAAAGAAUACGCAAAAAUGAAGGUAGAUCAAUAUAGAUUGU